CCUACGGGAGGCAGCAGUGGGGAAUUUUGGACAAUGGGCGCAAGCCUGAUCCAGCAAUGCCGCGUGAGUGAAGAAGGCCUUCGGGUUGUAAAGCUCUUUUGUCAGGGAAGAAACGGUGGGGGCUAAUAUCUCCUGCUAAUGACGGUACCUGAAGAAUAAGCACCGGCUAACUACGUGCCAGCAGCCGCGGUAAUACGUAGGGUGCAAGCGUUAAUCGGAAUUACUGGGCGUAAAGCGUGCGCAGGCGGUUUUGUAAGUUUGUCGUGAAAUCCCCGGGCUCAACCUGGGAAUGGCGAUGAAGACUGCAAGGCUAGAAUCUGGCAGAGGGGGGUAGAAUUCCACGUGUAGCAGUGAAAUGCGUAGAGAUGUGGAGGAACACCGAUGGCGAAGGCAGCCCCCUGGGUCAAGAUUGACGCUCAUGCACGAAAGCGUGGGGAGCAAACAGGAUUAGAUACCCUGGUAGUCCACGCCCUAAACGAUGUCUACUAGUUGUCGGGUUUUAAUUAACUUGGUAACGCAGCUAACGCGUGAAGUAGACCGCCUGGGGAGUACGGUCGCAAAGGAUUAAAACUUCAAAAGUAGUUAAGUUCGGCGNGNGAGNGCGACGACGACGACGACGGAGGAGGAG
rnacentral:rRNA from 1 species